UACAGAGGUCUCGAGCGUUAGGCGGAAUCACUGGGCUUAAAGCGUGUGUAGGUGGAUGCCUAAGUACCUUGUGAAAUCCCACGGCUUAACCGUGGAACUGCUUGGUAUACUGGGUGUCUUGAGUCACUCAGGGGCGAGCGGAACAAAUGGUGGAGCGGUGAAAUGCGUAGAGAUCGGAAAGAACACCAACGGCGAAAGCACUCUGCUGGGCCGACACUGACACUGGAGAGACGAAAGCUAGGGGAGCGAAUGGG
rnacentral:rRNA from 1 species